rnacentral:rRNA from 1 species
AAUGAACGCUGGCGGCAUGCCUAACACAUGCAAGUCGAACGAAGGCUUCGGCCUUAGUGGCGCACGGGUGCGUAACGCGUGGGAAUCUGCCCCUUGGUUCGGAAUGACAGUUAGAAAUGACUGCUAAUACCGGAUGAUGACGUAAGUCCAAAGAUUUAUCGCCGAGGGAUGAGCCCGCGUAGGAUUAGCUAGUUGGUGUGGUAAGAGCGCACCAAGGCGACGAUCCUUAGCUGGUCUGAGAGGAUGAUCAGCCACACUGGGACUGAGACACGGCCCAGACUCCUACGGGAGGCAGCAGUGGGGAAUAUUGGACAAUGGGCGAAAGCCUGAUCCAGCAAUGCCGCGUGAGUGAUGAAGGCCUUAGGGUUGUAAAGCUCUUUUACCCGGGAUGAUAAUGACAGUACCGGGAGAAUAAGCUCCGGCUAACUCCGUG